UCUACGUGCUUGGCAGCACGUAGGCUCGACGCCCUUGAGACACGGUACACAAUCGGGUGUGCUGGCGACACGCAUCAUGCACGCAUUGCCGCCCGCAUCCGCUGAAUUCGGAGAUGUCCAUGUCUUUUAAAUGUUCGAUUCCUGUUGCGUGAAGUUCUUGUUGUGAAGAAAGAUUGUAGGAACAAAGAGAAGAGAAGAUGUCACAAGAGCAACCGAGACGGAAUGAAGCAGAAGCUUGCAGGCAAGAAGAACGUGGUGCCACCAAAGACAACCCUGCAAUUCUCAAUCAGGUAGUUGGUAAAUGUAACCACGACAAGUUAUGCGAUAUCGUGACCGAACGGAUGCAGCUCCACGAUGAAUUGAAGGAUAACCUCGUGUCCCUCUCCGUCGCAGCAGCUAAAGAUAACAAAUGCAAACGUAGUUAACUGAAACUCGUCUUCUCAUCGCCACCACGAACGUGUAUUACGCAUAUGUUUACCGUGUGAUUGAUAGAGUAGGUCCCCUGUUGUCCUUUCUAGGUCUUUCAAGACCCUCCAAUGUUCUCUUCAACGUUGUAAUUCACACUAUGUUUGUACUUUUUA